UAAUGGACACCUCUCUUAAUGGACAAAAUACUGAGAUCCCGGCAAAAUGAUAGGCAUUCGAAUGUAUUUUAACCUGUCUAUAACGGACUUUUUCUAUUACGGACACAGACAGUAAUAUUUUUCCCAAUACCUUGAUAGUUUAAAAUAAAAUGUAUUGCAAACGUGUACAAUGUACAUACCUGCAUACCAGCGUCGUCGGUCUAUUUUGAAUAGGUACUGAUUAUGACAGAUUG